UAAGGAAUAUUGGCCAAUGGACGCAAGUCUGAACCAGCCAUGCCGCGUGAAGGAUGAAGGUCCUCUGGAUUGUAAACUUCUUUUAUCUGGGACGAAAACGGGAUUUUUAUCUCAAUUGACGGUACCAGAGGAAUAAGCACCGGCUAACUCCGUGCCAGCAGCCGCGGUAAUACGGAGGGUGCGAGCGUUAUCCGGAUUUACUGGGUUUAAAGGGUGCGUAGGUGGGCUUAUAAGUCAGUGGUGAAAUCUCCGAGCUUAACUUGGAAACUGCCGUUGAUACUAUAGGUCUUGAAUUAUCUGGAGGUAAGCGGAAUAUGUCAUGUAGCGGUGAAAUGCUUAGAUAUGACAUAGAACACCAAUUGCGAAGGCAGCUUACUACAUAUAAAUUGACGCUGAGGCACGAAAGCGUGGGGAACAAACA
rnacentral:rRNA from 1 species